rnacentral:rRNA from 1 species
AGGUGCUGUGUGGCUGUCGUCAGCUCGUGUCGUGAGAUGUUGGGUUAAGUCCCGCAACGAGCGCAACCCUCCCCCUUAGUUGCCAGCAUUCAUUUGGGCACUCUAAGGGGACUGCCGGUGAUAAGCCGAGAGGAAGGUGGGGAUGACGUCAAGUCCUCAUGGCCCUUACGGGCUGGGCUACACACGUGCUACAAUGGUGGUGACAGUGGGCAGCGAAAGAGCGAUCCCGAGCUAAUCUCCAAAAGCCAUCUCUCUUCGGAUUGCACUCUGCAACUCGAGUGCAUGAAGUUGGAAUCGCUA